UACGAAGGGGGCUAGCGUUGCUCGGAAUCACUGGGCGUAAAGGGUGCGUAGGCGGGUCUUUAAGUCAGGGGUGAAAUCCUGGAGCUCAACUCCAGAACUGCCUUUGAUACUGAAGAUCUUGAGUUCGGGAGAGGUGAGUGGAACUGCGAGUGUAGAGGUGAAAUUCGUAGAUAUUCGCAAGAACACCAGUGGCGAAGGCGGCUCACUGGCCCGAUACUGACGCUGAGGAACGAAAGCUAGGGGAGCAAACAGG
rnacentral:rRNA from 1 species